GAAGUCCCUUCAAAAAAGGUAAGAUUUACAAUUCAUAAUUUCAAAGAAAUCUUCAAGAACUUCAGUUGUCAAGGCUAUAUUAGAGAGAAUCAGCUUAUUACACUCUUGUCAAUGGCUCUUCAAUCACAUCCCUUACCUCUUAUUGAUUAUUGUUAUUUGACAUGGUAAUUCCAAAAUUUCAGGUUCUUAGAGCUGCCCCUUAUGGGAAAGAAGCCUCAGCUAUUGAACCGUGUACAGUUGAGAAUUCUAUGAAGAGUGAUAUGAUUCCAUCAACCUCAAGACAAGACAGCAUAAAUGAAGUUGUACCUAUGGAAGUGGAUGAACCGAACGUAUCUGGGAAUACCCCUCCAAAAUAUAGGGAUCUUCUGGCCAAAAAAGAAAAUCUUAUUGAGGAGAAGGAUAAAAUAAUAGCCAGGUAUAACAGAAGGUUAGCUAAUAAGGAAAGGUGCAUUGCGAGAAUUAGACAGAGGUCAUAUAGGGCUAAGAAAAAAGUUGCGAAUUUGAAAAAUGUUUUAAAAGAACUGAAAGAAAAAUUGAACAUUGCUGAGGAAUCUUGCAUGAUGUUAGAAGGCAUUUCAGAAACUUCCUAUUUUCUUGUUAGGAGGCAAAUUCAGAAAGUGAAAGGGAAAAGGCUUACACGGAAAUACAAUGAGAAGUUGAGAUCAUUUGCACUGGCACUACAUUAUAUAUCACCACGAGCCUAUGAAUAUGUGCGGCAGCAAUUUGAUACUUGCUUGCCGCAUGCUAAGACUCUGGCCAGGUGGUAUAAAACAUUUGAUGCUGAACCUGGUUUCUGCUCUGAAGCAUUUAAUGCUAUUAAAGCAUAUGUCAGUGCAAAUGAUGGUCCCAUUCUGACAUCACUGAUGGUUGACAGCAUGUCAAUCAAACAAGAUGUCAAAUGGGACGGAACCAAGCAUGUUGGUUAUGUAAAUUUUGGUGUUGAUUUUAAUGAUGAUAGCAACCCCCACGCAAAAGAGGCGUUAGUGUUUCUAAUUAAUUGUAUAAAUGGCUACUGGGAAUAAACAAUUGCUUAUUUUUUGUAGCUGGUAUUUCUGGUGAACAAUUGGCUGGAUUGGUCAGACAAUGCCUUACAUUUUUACACGAGACUGGAGUCAUUGUUUGCUCCCUCACUUUUGAUGGGGCUGCGGCUAAUUUGAGUAUGGCUACAAAUCUAGGGUGCUCCUUCGAUCCUGAGAAUCCGAAGAGCCAUUUUGUUCAUCCAGAGACAGGUGAAAAGGUGCAUGUAUUUCUUGAUCCAUGUCAUAUGCUCAAAUUAGUCCGCAACACAUUUGGAGAAAGGGAUCUGGUUUUGUUGUGCACCACCUGAAGCAAAAAAUUAUGUGUGAGGAAUGCAUCGCCACACUGGAGAAUGAUAAUCCCACGACCAAUAACUUGGUAUACUUGAAAAGUAAGGAUGGUCUCAUUCAUCCAUCAAGUGAUGUCGUGGAAAUAUGUUCUCUGGCUGAAAAACAUUUUCGAGCCAAUUUUGUGUCCAAGGGUGCAAAUGGAAGGUUAAUUUCUUGUGGAAAAGUAACCAAAUUCGAGGUCCAGAAAGCCUGUAAUAAUAUUGUGUUGAAGUGUAUUGGAACACCAAUUUUUAAUUCCAUCACGCACCACAUUCGGGACCAAGAAUUUGGUUCUAAUCAUUUAAUAAAUUUAAUAAGAGUCAUAUUAAUAAAAUAUUUUGAUAUUAGUUUAAGAUAUUCUGCAAAAUGUACAAGUGAUAUGAUACAUUUGAAAAAAAAAACGUCAAGCACUAACUCACAAUAUUCUAUUUCAGGGAUUGUGAAGUUAGUGUUUGGAAUAUUGUAAAUUUUGUAAAUGAAUUCCUGUAUAUAUGUUGUAUAAUUGUACAUUUUGUAAAUAAAUUCCUGUAUAUGUAUAUAUGUUGUAUAAUUGUACAUUUUGUAAAUGAAUUCCUGUAUAUAUGUUGUAUAAUUGUUAAUUUUUGUAAAUAAAUUCCUAUUUAUAUCUUGUAAAAUUGUACAUUUUUGUGAAUGAAUUCCUGUAAUUCUUGUACAACUUAUCGUGCCAAUAAAUAAAACAAUUUAAU